rnacentral:rRNA from 1 species
UACGUAGGGGGCAAGCGUUGUCCGGAUUUAUUGGGCGUAAAGAGCGUGUAGGCGGCCAGGUAGGUCCGUUGUGAAAACUCGAGGCUCAACCUCGAGACGUCGGCGGAAACCCUCUGGCUAGAGUCCGGAAGAGGAGAGUGGAAUUCCUGGUGUAGCGGUGAAAUGCGCAGAUAUCAGGAGGAACACCGGUGGCGAAGGCGGUUCUCUGGGCAUGUCCUGACGCUGAGGAGCGAAAGUGUGGGGAGCGAACAGG